GUAGUCCACGCCCUAAACGAUGUCAACUGGUUGUUGGUGGGGUUAAACCCAUUAGUAACGAAGCUAACGCGUGAAGUUGACCGCCUGGGGAGUACGGCCGCAAGGUUAAAACUCAAAGGAAUUGACGGGGACCCGCACAAGCGGGGGAUGAUGUGGAUUAAUUCGAUGCAACGCGAAGAACCUUACCUACCCUUGACAUGCCAGGAAGCCGGGUGAGAGCUCGGUGUGCCCGAAAGGGAGCCUGGACACAGGUGCUGCAUGGCUGUCGUCAGCUCGUGUCGUGAGAUGUUGGGUUAAGUCCCGCAACGAGCGCAACCCUUGUCAUUAGUUGCUACGGUAACGGGCACUCUAGUGAGACUGCCGGUGACAAACCGGA
rnacentral:rRNA from 1 species